GUUUUCGGGUGAUCGCGGUCUGACUUGAUCAGGCUGAGGAAAGUCCAUGCUCGCACAGACUGUGAUGUCUGUAGUGUUCGUGCUUAGCGAAACAAUAAGCUAAGGUACUUCAUUUAUGGAGUAACGGCAGGAAAACAAGCUAAGGCUUCGGCUAUGCUUCAGUAUCCUUGAAAGUGCCACAGUGACGAAGCGUAUCGAGAAAUCUAUACGGUGGAACGCGGUAAACCCCUCGAGCGAGCAACCCAAACAAUGGUAGGGGCGCUUUUUGUUCGGAACAAGAACGAGACAAAGAGGCAGUUUCGGCUGCAGAUAGAUGGUUACCGCUUGGCUUUUUCUCCCUGGAAAAGUCGAGUACAAAACAUGGCUUACAGAA
rnacentral:RNase_P_RNA from 2 species